rnacentral:lncRNA from 1 species
AUGGUCUAUAUUUUCCACUUCGUCAUUUUUCUGUAGCACUCAUUAGAACAAGCCCCGAAAGGGCGACUAAGGAAACGCACAGGCGAGGCAGGAAAGCAGGAAUUUUUUUUUUUUUUUAAUCUAAUGACUAUGACGGCUUGGCAAGAAAGAGUGCACGAUAGUGGACUGGAAAUCAGAGGUGGCUUCUCCUAUUGAUUUUAGCGAUUGUGACUACUAUCUCUGGUAUCCAACUGUGUGGCCUGGAAGAGUUACGAGAAUAAAGAUGGCACAAAGUACAACUGUAUGCCCUUGACCCCAAUUCACCUGGAGCUCACGUUUACUUCAUUCGUGUCAUCAUCUGCAUGUGCUCCCUCUCUAGAUCU